rnacentral:rRNA from 1 species
GACAGGUGGUGGCAUGGUUGUCGUCAGCUCGUGUCGUGAGAUGUUGGGUUAAGUCCCGCAACGAGCGCAACCCUCGACCUUAGUUGCCAGCAUUCAGUUGGGCACUCUAAGGUGACUGCCGGCUAAAAGUCGGAGGAAGGUGGGGAUGACGUCAAAUCAUCAUGCCCCUUAUGACCUGGGCUACACACGUGCUACAAUGGGCGGUACAAAGGGUCGCGAACCCGCGAGGGGGAGCCAAUCCCAAAAAGCCGCUCUCAGUUCGGAUUGCAGGCUGCAACUCGCCUGCAUGAAGCCGGAAUCGCUAGUAAUCGCGGAUCAGCAUGCCGCGGUGAAUACGUUCCCGGGCCUU